CUAAAAAUAGAAAAGAAUCAAGCUCUACAAAGCGUGGUCCUUCAAAGUUUGAAAUAGUGGAGAAGGCUCAGAAACGUGCUCGACGGGUGUGAUGAGCAUAAUGAUUUGCCAAAGAAACUUUUUGUUAAUAAUAGCUUAGAUGUGUAAAGAACACAUUAAGGUUGGAGUGCAUGGGUUUCAUAUCUUUU